UCCUAAUUAUCCAGGGGGCAAAUAUCUUAAUACUCAAGAGUGUACCUCUCCCUUUUUUUCUUCCACCUCUUUUCGAUUUUUCCAACUUUCCCCCCCACUUUUUUUUUUCUCUUUACUGUCUCCCCUCCCUUUAACCUGUCUUGACAAUCUUACCUCAUUUUUUUUUUUUUUUUUGCCAUGAAUAACCUUUUGUAUUUCCAAUUAGCUUUGCUAAUAAGAAGAAAAAUGGAGGCAUUGCUUCUGCAGUUAAAAAAAAAAGACGACCAAGACACGAGAAUAAAGAAAAAAAAAAAAAAAAAUUAAUGUAUAACCUCAUCCAGCCACUGGGGAAAUAAAGAAAAGCACUGCCAUUGCUCGUGGUUAUAUGACAAUACUGUGAGGUGGUGGUUGGUUGCUCGAGUUAUUACAGAUAAACUAGAAUUAAGAGAAUCGGCUACUCCGCAGGACCCUUUUGUUAUGUAUCACAGCAAUGUCAAAUUAAGGUGACUGUGUAUAUCGACAAGUUUAUGAUCAUUUUCAAUCAGUUUACGAAAAGCUUCGUAUAUAUCAAGACAUGACAAGUCUAUAAAAUUAUUUCGU